UUUAAAUUUCCUUAGAGUUUUUUUCCGCCAAAACAACAUUACGCCAUCUAUUGCACGUCUUGGACUACUUGUCUCUCCGGUCUUCUAUCACUCGCUGGCGUCUCAGAUACUCUCCGAGAAUGUCAAUUCACUUUUAUUGGAUCUACCGAGACGUCUAUUUCUCUUAUCUCUUAUCAUACCCUCAUCUCUUUAUCGUACGGCCA